rnacentral:misc_RNA from 1 species
UGUCGACGCCAGUAUGGCUCAGGAAGAUGCCGUGAUACUUCUCAUGCGCCGGAUCGGCCUUCUCCAACGCGAGGCUGUCGCGAACGAGCUGGUUCUGGGCUCUCCCUGCGACGUCGGCGGCGUCAGCAGCCAGCCCGUCGGGGUGCCGAGCAUCAGCUGACCGCCGAGGCUGUAGCCCUCCGGCGUCGCGGCGAUCGACCCAUAGCCUUCGCCGGGAUCGGAU